CCUACGGGAGGCAGCAGUAAGGAAUAUUGGACAAUGGCCGCAAGGCUGAUCCAGCCAUGCCGCGUGCAGGAAGAAGGCCCUAUGGGUCGUAAACUGCUUUUGAACCAGAGAAAACCCCACUACGUGUAGUGGGCUGAUAGUAUGGUUAGAAUAAGCAUCGGCUAACUUCGUGCCAGCAGCCGCGGUAAGACGAAGGAUGCAAGCGUUAUCCGGAUUCAUUGGGUUUAAAGGGAGCGUAGGCGGACUUGUAAGUCAGUGGUGAAAUCUGUGGGCUUAACCCACAAACUGCCAUUGAUACUGCGGGUCUAGAGUACAGUUGCCGUUGGCGGAAUAUGACAUGUAGUGGUGAAAUACUUAGAUAUGUCAUAGAACACCGAUUGCGAAGGCAGCUAACGAAGCUGUAACUGACGCUGAGGCUCGAAAGUGCGGGGAUCAAACAGGAUUAGAUACCCUGGUAGUCCGCACUAGUAACGUAUAGUAUUACUUCGUUGUCGUGGAAGACUAAUUUACUUAGUGACCGAACGACGAAACGACGAGUAAGUAAAUACCACCGUCGGGAGGUACGGCCGGCCGACGGUAGAAACGUACGAAAUAGAAGUUAGUACGGACGUGAGACGUUGCCGACGGGACGACCGACCGACGGGGAGGGUAGGGNG
rnacentral:rRNA from 1 species